UGCUUUAUGUCGAUUUGAGUGCUAUAGAAUAUUCAACGAUGAAGUGGAUCGGUUUGACUUUCUUGAUGCUGUCAUCCUUGAUGGUGGCAACAGAAGCGCGACCCCAAGCCAGAUUCCCGCCUCACUUUCCUACAAGCGGGCCUUCCAUCCCUCCAUGCAACUGUACGUUCCUACCGUGUCCUUGUUAUCCUCCUAGACCCAUCGACUUCUUAAGGGCCAAGCGACAAGUGUGAAGAGGACUCCGGAGGGCCCUGCGACAG